rnacentral:rRNA from 1 species
UGGGGAAUAUUGCACAAUGGGCGCAAGCCUGAUGCAGCCAUGCCGCGUGUGUGAAGAAGGCCUUCGGGUUGUAAAGCACUUUCAGCGAGGAGGAAGGUGGUGAGCUUAAUACGCUCAUCAAUUGACGUUACUCGCAGAAGAAGCACCGGCUAACUCCGUGCCAGCAGCCGCGGUAAUACGGAGGGUGCAAGCGUUAAUCGGAAUUACUGGGCGUAAAGCGCACGCAGGCGGUUUGUUAAGUCAGAUGUGAAAUCCCCGGGCUCAACCUGGGAACUGCAUUUGAAACUGGCAAGCUAGAGUCUCGUAGAGGGGGGUAGAAUUCCAGGUGUAGCGGUGAAAUGCGUAGAGAUCUGGAGGAAUACCGGUGGCGAAGGCGGCCCCCUGGACGAAGACUGACGCUCAGGUGCGAAAGCGUGGGGAGCAAAACAGGAUUAGAUACCCUGGUAGUCCACGCUGUAAAACGAUGUCGAUUUUGGAGGUUGUGCCCUUGAGGCGUGGCUUCCGGAGCUAACGCGUUAAAUCGACCGCCUGGGGAGUACGGCCGCAAGGUUAAAACUCAAAGGAAUUGACGGGGUC